UCAGAGCGCAUUACUAAUAUAAGCUCAUUGCGGUCUCCUACAAUUUGUAUAUUAGUUCUAGUAAGCACCAGAUCUCUUAGUCGAAGUGUAUUUUUCAAGAUCUUUGUACACAUAACUUCACGUGAUUUAAACUAACUAGCUAAAUAGCUCUGACAUAACAUUCAUAGCGCCGCCCUUGCACCUCUUCAAGUAUUUCCUGUAACACUUGUACUUUCAUAUAACAGCCAUUCUGACUUCUGUGCUGAACAAGGCGAGUGUGAAAAGGAAUACAUACAAGACAACAUUUUGAAGGAAUUUAACCACCGGAAGCAAAAUGAGGCUGACUGGUUUCAUUUGCGCGAUUCUUAUCGCCGCGAUCCUUGCUAGCGUUGUUACCGACGUCAAUGCUCAAAGAAGAGGCGCGCUGCGUCGAUGUUGUAUGAAUUGCCAACAAAGGGGGAUGGCAUGCAGGAUUGUCGGCAGCUACUCGUGCAGAUGCAGGGGUAACUCCAUAAUGAAUAGCGACGGGCCGUGAACGAUAGGAAUGCGCUUGUUUUUUUCUCUACGAAAAACCUUUACAGUUGAAAGUGUUAAGAACUUGGAUCUAAGUUUUUUAACUUUUGACCUUAAAUAACAGAUUUUUCUCUAGUUAGUUGAUUUAAUACUGUGUUAGACCGUGUACAACAUUGUUUCUGAGCGGAGACAUGUACAAAUAUGUAACUAAAUAAACAAAUAAAGAAUG